AAGGCCUCCUUAAAANUAAGUGCCUUAUAGCUAAACAGAUGAUACCCUCUCAAUCUGUUGCGCAAAACUAUAUCAUUUCCCCAGACCAGGGGUC
rnacentral:rRNA from 1 species